GACGAACGCUGGCGGCGUGGAUUAGGCAUGCAAGUCGAACGGUAUCAUCCUUUCGGGGGUGAGAGAGUGGCGAACUGGUGAGUAACACGUAGGUUAUCUACCCUCAAGACGGGGACAACCCAGGGAAACUUGGGCUAAUACCGGAUGUGAGCAACUUUUAGUUGUUUGAAAGGUGGCGUAAGCUGUCGCUUGGGGAUGAGCCUGCGUCCUAUUAGUUAGUUGGUGAGGUAACGGCUCACCUAGGCAAUGAUAGGUAGGCGGCCUUAACGGGUGGUCGCCCACACUGGGAUUGAGAUACGGCCCAGACUCCUACGGGAGGCAGCAGUCGAGAAUAGUCUACAAUGGUCGGAAGACUGAUAGUGCGACGCCGCGUGAACGAUGAAUCCUUCGGGUGUAAAGUUCUUUUAUAUGUGAGCAGUGCUUCUUAUAUUAACAGUAUGGGGAGAGAGAUAUUAGCAUAUGAAUAAGCAACGGCUAACUCCGUGCCAGCAGCCGCGGUAAAACGU
rnacentral:rRNA from 1 species